rnacentral:rRNA from 1 species
UGGUAGUNCACGCCGUAAACGAUGAGUGCUAGGUGUUAGGCCCUUUCCGGGGCUUAGUGCCGGAGCUAACGCAAUAAGCACUCCGCCUGGGGAGUACGACCGCAAGGUUGAAACUCAAAGGAAUUGACGGGGGCCCGCACAAGCGGUGGAGCAUGUGGUUUAAUUCGAAGCAACGCGAAGAACCUUACCAGGUCUUGACAUCCCGAUGCUAUUCUUAGAGAUAGGAAGUUACUUCGGUACAUCGGAGACAGGUGGUGCAUGGUUGUCGUCAGCUCGUGUCGUGAGAUGUUGGGUUAAGUCCCGCAACGAGCGCAACCCUUAUUGUUAGUUGCCAUCAUUAAGUUGGGCACUCUAGCGAGACUGCCGGUAAUAAACCGGAGGAAGGUGGGGAUGACGUCAAAUCGUCAUGCCCCUUAUGACCUGGGCUACACACGUGCUACAAUGGUCGGUACAACGAGUUGCGAGCCGGUGACGGCAAGCUAAUCUCUGAAAGCCGAUCUCAGUUCGGAUUGGAGGCUGCAACUCGCCUCCAUGAAGUCGGAAUCGCUAGUAAUCGCGGAUCAGCACGCCGCGGUGAAUACGUUCCCGGGCCUUGUACACACCGCCCGUCACACCACGAGAGUUUGUAACACCCGAAGUCGGUGAGGUANCCUUUUAGGG